rnacentral:lncRNA from 1 species
CUGCACAAGAAAGAAGGCAUACGGAGAUACGGUAUGAAAUAUACAUGAAGGCCAACUACCAUAGAAACAAUUACAUAUUCUUUCCCUGAUACUCUGAGAGCAUAAGCUAUUCGGCUCAGAAAAGAACAAUGAAAGUAGGCAGUGGCGGAGCCAGCGCCCGACCACCCCGGGCACUUGCCCAGGCUCGAUGGCUGUGAGACAGCUUACAUACAUGAUAAACAGUGGGCAGAUUCUACCGUGCGUCUUGGUUUACCUGGGCAACAUCCAUGCACGUAUGAUUCUCAAACAAAAGGUUGAUGCAUGUAUGUGAUAAACAAUGAGCUACUUAAUUAGGCCUACUAUAAGCAUCUGACCAAUACUCAACCUCCUCUGUUUUUAAAUAUAAGAUCUUUUAAAGAUUUUACUACAGAGUACGUAUGAAACAAAAUAAAUAAAUAAAUAUUUUAAAAUAUAUCUACAUACAUCCUUAUAUAGACUGUUCCUACAUAACUAGUUCUUCCAAAAUAACUAGUUCCUACAUUUCGAUAUGCAAAGUCAAAGAUGCAUUAUUACAGGGAGUAAUCGAUCAUAUAUACUGCUCUCUGGUAUGAAGAUUAAACAAGACAUGGCAAGCUUGCAAACUACCUUCACCGUUACUGUUAAAGGAGUUCCACCUCAUUCGAUCUGCAAAUUUAUCUCCUUGUCAACGCUCUCGUCAAGCAAGGACUCCAUAGUGAGAAAUUUUGUUACAACCUAUAAAUAGUUAAGAACAUCGUUGAAUAAGAAAUUAAUGUGGUAUGUCAAAUUAAAAUAACAUGGAAAAUGCAUCAGUGAAAAGAAAUAUAGUGAACAACAAGAUGCCAAGUUUAUACAACAUGACGAUUUUAACACUAGGAGUAUUUUAAAAAUACUCCAGCAAGGAAUAAUGCAUAAAUUUGGAGUAUGGAGUAAAUGAGAGUACUUCAGAAAAUAUGGAGUAAUGCAUAAAUUUGUACUCUAGCAAGUUUACUGCAUACUCAAGAUAAAUUCAGUUUACUCUUAAAUGACAGUAACUCAGUUUAUUGUUAAAUGACAAUACUCCAGAAAGGAGUGAUUCAGUACUUUGAUUACCUUGGACUAACACUGAUCAUGCAAACAUCAACACCCAUUGUUGAAAACAGCAAUCCAAUUAUUUGUCCUUUUCCAUCGGUAAGCAAGUACAGGCCCUGAACCCAGUUACACUUGGGGUUAUCUAGCUGAUGGAUAAGUUGAUCAGCCUCACAUUUCACUUUCUUCCUCCUUUGCUAUGGACUUGGGUAAUCUAGCAGAUUUCUAUGCAUUGUUGGUUGGUGCGAAAAAUAACUAACCCAACAAAGUCUCAUGUGGCUCUAGAUUAGCAGUAAGUCUGUCAAAAUGUUGGUCAAGAUGGCAAGAUUUUGUGAAAGGAAGUUGGCACAUAUAUCAUGUGAAUAACUACAGAAGGAAGUUAAUUUUUUCUUAGAAAACAUAGAAGAAAGUGAGAAGCAGGACGAACGGAUAAACUGCAUUUGAUAGGGAUGACAGUAAAUUCAGUUAACUAUUGUGUCAAAAUUCAGUUAACCGACUUUUAGACUGAAAUUUUAAACUUGCUUGCAAUAAGCAGUACACUUUAUAUUCAGAGCAGGAUACAAAACUGAUUUUUUAGCAAAAUAACUAAAUCUGUUGAGAAAGAUUCAGUUUGACAAAAUUUUACACUAAAUUUUUAUCGUUGAGAUGAUUGCACAGUGGUUGUCAGAGAUAUCUCUUGCUGCAAAAUCCUGCUCUAAGUUUGACAAAAUUCAGCUGCAAUUUCAGAGAACCAGCACACAAAAUUACAAAAAC